rnacentral:rRNA from 1 species
AGCCAGACUCCUACGGGAGGCAGCAGUGGGGAAUAUUGCACAAUGGGGGAAACCCUGAUGCAGCGACGCCGCGUGAGCGAUGAAGUAUUUCGGUAUGUAAAGCUCUAUCAGCAGGGAAGAAGAUGACGGUACCUGACUAAGAAGCCCCGGCUAACUACGUGCCAGCAGCCGCGGUAAUACGUAGGGGGCAAGCGUUAUCCGGAUUUACUGGGUGUAAAGGGAGCGUAGACGGCGAUGCAAGCCAGAUGUGAAAGCCCGGGGCUCAACCCCGGGACUGCAUUUGGAACUGUGUGGCUGGAGUGUCGGAGAGGCAGGCGGAAUUCCUGGUGUAGCGGUGAAAUGCGUAGAUAUCAGGAGGAACACCGGUGGCGAAGGCGGCUUACUGGACCAUAACUGACGUUGAGGCUCGAAAGCGUGGGGAGCGAACAGGAUUAGAUACCCGUGUAA